UAUUGUUUCACUAAUAAAGUUACCCGCGCAUUACGGCGGAAUGAUACUAUAGAAUAUAAAAUAUAAAUAAAAUAAAAAUUUUAAAUUUUUUGAUUUGAUAUGGGACUUCAAUAAACACAAAUAUAAAAUAUAAAAUAGAUAUAGAUAUAGAUAUAACAAAAUUUAUAAUUUCGAUAAAUAAAUCACACAUAAUAAUAAUAAAAUAAGCAAUAAAAUUUUUUUUACCCUAUACACAUCUUCAUUGCACUAUCGAUAUCGGAGAGGUAAAUUCCGAUCUUUACAUCGCCUUCGCCGCUAGUGUCCAGCUCCUCUUUAGUCACAACCAUAUCAAUCCUGUAUCCACAACUGCUUCUUCUCUGUCACUGACUCCAAAUCCAUCACCGUUUUCUUCUGCAGCGCUCCGUCGCCAUCCUCGAAACCCUAAUUUCAAUCCACACACAACAAAAAAUUUUAAAAAGUUACAAAACAUGAGCCAUUUUUGUGCGCCAAGAAAAAAAGAAAAAAAAAGAUAUGAAGAAAUGGAGAUUAAACCAUAUAAACAUAUUAAUUGAGAGAUAAGGGGGAGAAAAAAAAAUAAUAUGAAAAAAAAGAUAUGAAGAAAUGGAGAUAAAACCAUGUAAACAUAUUAAUUAAGAGAUAGGGGGGUUAGGAAGAUGAAGCAUUAGGUGGAGAUGGUAUUAUGUAAACAUAUUAAUUGAGUAGGGGUUUAGGAAGAUGAAACAUUGGGUGAAAAUGGGAGUGGAAAGAGAGAAGAAAAAAAAGUGAAGGAGAAUUUGCCACAUGGUAAAAAAUUAGGAGAAAUAAUGUAUAGGUAUAAAUAUAGAUAUAGAUAUAGAUAUAUAAAUAUAUGUUGCAUGUAAAUUCAUAUAUAUU
rnacentral:lncRNA from 1 species